rnacentral:snRNA from 1 species
ACUCUCUUAAGGUAGCCAAA